GUUUCUGUCAACAAACACGUCUUUAGGUGUUUAUUCUGUUGUGGUUCAGAGUAUUAUACCCUCGCUUUGAAUACAACUUUACGAUCCAUCGCUCUCUCUCGUAUGAUUCUGAACAAUUGGUAGCUGUGGGGAAGGAGACCAAUUAAGACGGUGCUUUUAAUCAUGAAAGCUGUAAAACUUUGCACUAAAACCCUCAGCAACCACUCUGUUAUAGCUGCUAUCAUGCUCAGGGGACGUGUCUCGGCGUAAAAACGUUAAUGAUCUUACCAGAGGUAAGUGUGUCGUUAUUAAUGUGAUGUUAUUAGAGGCUGUGUGUUAUUUAAGGAGUUGUUUCAGGCCUCUUAACGUGCUCUCGUGAACUGCUUGCUCCAUGUAUUGUUGUCAUGUCCAGCUGCCUCUCUGUUAUGUUGUAUGGUAUGUCCUGCCUCAGCCUCCACACUGUGACGACCAACUGCCGCAGAUUUUUAACAUAUCUGUGAUUCCGGUGGUUCUCUGCUCUGAGUGUUACUCUGAGGGAGCUUUGUUUGUCAUUCUAGAUGGUAUGUGUGUGCAUUCAGAUGGUUUCCCAUCUUGAAGUGUAAGGGCAUGCACUAACUAUUGAUUGCUGAAUUUAAGUGUCCCCGCUGUGACAGUCAAGUGGUUCUCUAUGCUGCUUGCUCAGACUUGGAAAUAUUGUCGCUUUCUUGUGCUUCACGCUGCUUUACACGCAAUUGUGAAACAUUGGCCCCGAGGAAUAUUUAUGCUGAUAUUUCUGUCCUCUUUCAACUCUCCCUCUCAAAGCUUUGACGCACUCUUUAACCUCCUGAGACCUGAGCUUUUGUUUGUCGAGCAUUUUUGAUUUCCCCUACCUACUUUGGAUCAGUUGAACAAGAUUUAAAACCUGAAUAUUGUCUUUGAACAGUGAGCAGUUUUUUACAAAAUGGGGCCAAUUGUGUUUUGUCACCAUGUUACACAAUGAUGACUCUGUUGUGUAACGGACUUAAUCUCAAUAUCUAAUCAUUGCCAUGCUAUUACAAAUUUAACUGUAAAUGGUUUCAUUUUAAUGCCCAAUGAUGACUGAGGCAUGGUUUAGCUGUAUUGGUUUUUUACCAGAUAAAGAGUCCCAAUGUCCUCACAUGUUUUGGUCAUAGAGGUCAUAGAGUUUAGCAGAAUUUACUAUUAAGGCACAUGGAGGCCAAAAUGUAAUGUUCGCAUAUAAGAAUCCAAGUUCUCUUUAACAAAAAUAAGGCAAAUAGAUUUUAAAUGCUGUUGAUAUUUUCACCACAGCUCGUAGUUGAAGUUACUUUGUAGAGAUCAGCAGUUUGGAGAUGCUCUCACCAGCUCUGCUGCCGCCGGUGCACAGAUUGCAGGACAGGAUGUUGCUCCAUUUUUCCUGUUAGAGAUGGUUUGGGUCCAGUAGCUUACAAAUUUGCCUGUUAAAUAUCAUUAUUCCCCCACUUAAAAAGAAAAAACAGCCUUAAAUGGACACAAAACUUAUUUAUUUAUGUAUUUAUUUUACCACAUUGUCAACCGGCAGAAGCCAGAUUCUUUUUAGAUGAUUGCACGACAUAUGUGAUCAGGUUGUUGCCGAUGUUGCUGUUGCUUUUGUUGGUGUAGUUAUGGAGUUCUGGCCAAUCAAAACAAACACAAUACUAUUUCAUACUUAUAUGUUCUUGCGCCACAUAAGCUCUUUACCCCUAAAACAACAGUUCAGCAGUUGUCAGAUGUGUAAGACCUGUUGUAAUCUCUACUGAAACAUUACAGGCAAAGUAAAUCUGAAUUAGGUUUAUUACUGGAAAGAUUCAAAUGAACAAGGAUUAUAUUUUGGCAUUAACAUAAACAGAAAUAAAAUAAAGUAUCCACAUGAGGGAAAAUGUGGUGAAUAAAUGAAUUAUAUUUUUUAUUAUCAAAGUGUCAUGAAGGAGUUUAAAAAUGCAAUGUGUGCCCGAAGACGCUUCAAAAGUUCAGGGUUUGAGGUACAGAGAGAAUGUGUAAUACGCAGAGAUAAUAAUCCAGAUGAACUGUGUUUCACCUUUAUAUAACGGAUGCUGUUAUUGGCAGCAGGUCUAGAGAAACUCUUCUUAUUGAGUCACAUCCUUAUGGGUCGCUAUCAGCUGCUAGAGGCUGGGGAGUGGGGUGGUCUGAGAGGGGUCAGCAGCAUCACCUGCACGCCUCAGGGUCUUGAAAGCUCAGAGGUCAUGGAGCAGUGGCAGAUUGCAGCUAAUCAUUCUCAGCACCAUCGCAGAGCAAAUUACAUGCUGCAGUCUGUCCUCUGUGAUAACUGGAAUGAGAUUACACUGAAAUUACCCAUCAUUCUCUCUGUCUCAUUAAAGGCAUGAGGAGAUAGCUUGGACCAUGGCAGUUUCAAAACUAUCUCUCCCUGCAUGUGUGACGUGUACACUUAACUGUACUUACAGGGCUCUAUUUUGACAAUCUAAAAUCACAGUCUAAAGUGUGUGAUGGAGAGUGAUUGAGUUUGUGUCUGAGACUGCAUUUUGCCACAAUCUGGGCACUAAAUGAGGAACAAUCCUCUGAAUUGAAAUACAUGAAAUAAACCAAUAUGUGCCUGGUCCUAUUCCCUUAAAGAGAUAUUCCAGCGUUAUAUUAAUUUUGGGUCAAAUACACCGCAACACUGAGUUAGACACCCCCUUGAUGAAUGUUGCCGACUGCUUGCUUCUCUAGUUAUACCAACUUUGGUAACGACCGCACGAUAGCAAUACACAGCGGUCUGAGGAGCCAUAUACAAACCUCAACCAAAACGCCACAAAUAAUGCUCAGAACAGCACCUAACUUCAUCAACAGUACAUAUAGGGUCCCAGCAAGAGCACUAGACACCAAACAUCUUUUUAGCUUUGCCUGAUUUCUUUAGCAAAGAGACCAAACACAACUCACCUACUCUCUUCCAGCAGCCGCUAGUUUGCAGCGAGACCUCAGGCCAGUCUAUUACGGACUACAAUGGGGUGACGCAGCUCAAGGAAGAACAUUUAUGAUCAUUUCUUCAUAGGAAUGCUAUCAGACCGAGACGCUAAGGCAGAAGAACUACCACGUCUGAUGUCUUACUACAAACAAGUGGCUGCUGGAAGAGAGUGGGUGAGUUGUGUUUAGUCUCUUUACUAAAGAAAUUAAGCAAAGUUAAGAAGAUGUUUGGUGGCUGGGAUGCUAUAUGUACUGUUGAUGAAGUUAGGUGCUGUUCUGAUCAUUAUUUGUGACUAUAGAGUGGCGCUUUGGUUGAGGUUUGUUUAUGGCUCCUCAGGCAGCUGUGUAUUGCUAUCGUGCGUUUGUUACUUAAUUUGGUAUGACUAGAGAAGCAAGUGGUCAGCAACAUUAAUCUCUCGAGGGAGUGUCUAACUCUGUGUGUUUGACCCUAAAUUAAUUUUACGCCGGAAUAUCCCUUUAAGGCGUCAGGUGCAUCUACAGGCAAGCAUGUUGCUAUGGUGAUCAAUUUAUCACCAUUUAUCAUCAAAACUAUUAUCUAUCAAUUAUAAAUAAGUCAAUAUACCUGCAGGGCUACUGCAGGUAUAUUCUUGAUAUGUAAGACCAAACACAAGCAUAAACAAGUAGGAUAAAGGCAACAGUGAAUGCACUAUUUAAGACUUAUAUCACAUGAUCAAUGCGGAAAAUAAAAGUUUCUUUGUUAUUUAAGUGCAUGUAAACACUCUAAGUAGAAGUAAAAACCACUAAACCAUCCAUACAGUGUGUGAGAGUAAGCAGCCGCCUGUAAACACAUUCCCAGGCUGAGGUAAACCUUCUCUGUUUCCUUUUCCCUCCCAUAAUGGGACGUGAAGCCUCCAGCUGAAAUGUGCUGACCUGUAAAAUCCCAGCUGUGGGCCCUGCGGUGCCCAACACAAACUGGGUCUUUCCCGCUGAAACUGAACGCCCAGGGUAACACGCCAUGUUUUGCUGCAGGAAACCAAAGAAUGUUUGACUGCUGGGCCUGGCGUCUGAUGGCAGUCUGCAUCCGUUUGAAGUACGGCCCUUCCAAGGCUGUGUCCAAAGUAAAUAAAAGCAGAGCGCUCCCUCGACCUCCAUCAAACACAUCACUCAGAAACAGCUGUUACCAUUUAGCUGGAAAAACCGCCAGCAUUCCUCCCUCAGAAUGUAUAUGGGACAUGUGAGAUAGCAAUCAACACACACAUUCCUUCAGUGUGGUCACACUUGCAAUCUCUCCUCUUCCGAGUGUAAACAGACAGGGCGGCUUCACUGCUCAGGUUGGAGUUGUGACCUCAGAAUAUUGUUUUGUUGUUUCAAACAUUUCUACACUGUGAUUAUAUCGUCUGGUUUGUUUUGCUCUCAUCCAGGAAUCUGAGAAAUCCUCUGAAUGGUUGCUUACACUUUUAGCUCAGAGAUAGUGUUUGUUUAUGCUAUUUACAGAUCACCGUGUGAGCGUGUGCUGCUGAGGACACCAUACUGGUAGAUAUAAGGAUGUUAUUACAGUACCUUAUCUGUUGGAAUUAGCCAAAGGAAGUCGAUCAUGAGCAGUCUCGUUAACCAAUAUUUGCAUCACAUUGUUGUCAAAUUGUGACCAAUGACCAUCAGUACGUGGAAGGGUUGUAGUUUAGGUGUCAGUCCUGCUGAAAUUGGACAUUUAAAAUCCAUGGUUGGACAAACACAUUCAGACAGUGUGGUUGGGGUUGAUUUUCUCUUGCAAGCUUACACCUUCAUCGGACUCAAACUGGCAUAAGUGGUCUGAGCAGUUCACAUGUUGAGUUUUACCUGGAAGUUAAACUGUAUAAAGCCAUUGUAGGAAGUCGUAGGGAGUCAAAUUUGAACCUGAAGUGGAAAAGAAAAAACAACCUUAAAUUUAGCUAUUUCCCUUGUUAGAGACAAGACUUGUCUUAAAAUUAAACACAUCAAUGUUCUUCCUUGAGCUGUGUCACCCUGUCGCAGUUGGUAUGGGACUGGCCCGAGGUCUCUAUACAAACAAGCGGCUGCUGGAGGAGAGUGGGUGAGUUGUGUUAAGUCUCUUUGCUAAAGAAAUUAGGCAAAGCUAAAAAGAUGUUUGGUGUCUAGUACUAUGGCUGGGACCCUAUAUGUACUGUUGAUAACCAGUUAGGUAUCUGUUCUGAGCAUUAUUUGUGGCUAUAGAGUGGUGUUUUGGUUGAGCGCAUGGCUCUCUGAUUGCUAUCCUGCAGUCAUUUCUAAAGUUGGUAUGACUAGAGAAGGGAGUGUUUGGCAACAUUCAUCUUUCGAUGGGGUGUCUAACUCGGUGUUAUGGUGUGUUUGACCCUAACUUAUUUUACACCGGAAUAUCCCUUUAACUAAUGUUAAUGUUAAUGUAAUUACUAUUUAUCACAUGCUUCAUGCCACCCCAGAAGUGUCAGUGCUGAGGUUAGGCCACUUCAGUCAUAAAGGUCUUGACACACCCCUGCUCAUUAUUGUACACCUUACCCUGAGUGCUAACAGGUGGAUACAUGCUGAACAGAGGGCUCUCCUGAUGGAUUGGAGGGACCAAGGUCAAAGACAAGGACUCUACUAACAGGUUAAAGUCAGACAACUUGACAAUGAGGUAGGUCCUUGGAGAACGCUGCUGUCUCUCUAAUGAAGUCAGUGUGGACCGCCCAUCAGAGACCCUCAGCUUGCCCCAACAUCAGUGUAAGAAUAAGAAUAACUGUGUCCUACAGCAAAAUAUGAAAAGGACAGUAAUUGAAGACAUAACAGCAUGCUUUCCAUGUGGGUUAUACCAUUAUUAAUAGUUAGCAGAUGAACAUAAAUUUGUCUUGGUAUCGUAAAGCUUUCGUAGACCUCAAACAGGCUCUUUUGAAAUAGCCUAUCUAACUCCCUGUGCCCCUCCAGGGUGUGUCUAUGCAUCAAAGAUACAAAAAAGGACAUUCUCUGUGUAAUUUUAUUUUAUCAAAGCUAUUUUUUAAAACAUAAUGUCUCAAUAUAAUGGGACUCAUAAGUAUAAAACGAAAUGAGCCUAUUAAAUAGUUCCAAAAUGUCCCAGUCAUUCUGCAGCAAAAAGCCAUUCCAACCCCAAAAGAGACAUUGGCAUCUUGACAUCUGAUUGGUUGGAAUCGCCUUCUGUGGCUGGUUCCUGGUCAUUCUUUGGUUCAGAAAGUAAAGGGAGGCUCAAAAGGCCGUAUAUCUGACAGACCAGGGGGAGAUACUUGCUGUUUUAACUGAAGGUUAAUGUGGAAUUGUAAACCCCACGUUUAACUGAGUUAUAUAAACCUAUGUCUGCAAGAGGAGCUUAUGGUGGGUGCGCCAUGGUCUGUCCAUGAUCAUGACCUGACAAGAAUAAGGGACCAAGAGGUCAUGAUUCAGGUCAAGGGUGAGUGGAAAUGCCAUGUUGUUACCCAAGUUUUCACAAUGAAACUAAAUUCAAAAUAUCAAUCUUACUGGAAAUUCAACCGUAAAUCAUCUGUGAUUGAUAUACUGUUUCUAAAGCUCUGCCUUUAAACCUCCUAGAUCCUGCAGAUCCAGUCUAGAGAAUGACUCACACUUCCUCUCCUGCUUCACGCUCCAUGGCCAUUCAAAUGUCAGACUGAUCCCAGCCAAGCAUAUUGGUCUUUCAGCAUCCAUUGUGUGUGCAUUUGCUGAACAUCAGGGGUAGAGAAAGUCUGAAGAAAAAUCCCUUCACUCAGGAGGUACGACAGAGCUGAAUCCUCACUAAUGCAACUUUAAUGAGGAGCGCCUCAGGAGAGGGAGGGUGUGUGUCCGUCUCAGCUGAUGGCUGGAUCCACACGUUGCUUUUACUUUUGCUGCGCUUUAGCUGCUCGUAGGUAGAAUAAAAGAAAAGCUCAAGACGCUACAACUCUGGAGUAAGAGAGGCAAAAACUUUGAGACCCGUCGAGAUAAGUUAUACCAAAGCCUCUGGUGAUGGCUGUAAUAUUUCAGGUUAGUCAAAUAAAAGUGUUAAGAGUUCCAUUAAAUACUCUGAUUUAACUUAUGGACAUUUACUUUGAAAAAUGAUGUAAUAAUUUUAGUAUUUCUGAGCUGGUGGUAUGCAGAUUUACAAUCUUCCACAGCUGCUAAAGCAUCAAAAGCCUAAAUGAACAUUAAGUUUAAUUGCAUCACGACUUGCCCGUCUUGUCCUCCGAUGCAGUCGGCCCAGUCUUUUUAUUUGAUAGUGGAACUUAAAUGACAAACCAAAGAAAAUUUAAGUCACGAAUUAGUUAUAGAGGUGAUUAAAUCAAAAUUUAACGAUGACUUUAACUUCGACGAUCCUUCUGUUUGCUUUUUCAUUUGAAAACUUAGAUUUGAUUUCCUCGGGGCAAUUGGGAGGUAAGUGACCAGGAGGGAGGAGCUAAGUUUGUCGGACAUAUAUCUUCAUAGCAAUGGCACUAAUUAUUAAAUUUAUAAAAGAUAUAACCUCAACGAACUAGAUUUACAAUUAACUGAAAAGGCCCCAGGAUGGAACCCUGAGGAAUACCGACAGUGAGUGGAAAAGUUUCGAGUUGACUAAAGGAGAUGGGAUUUAAAUCAAUUCAAGGUUUUGUUAGUCGUAAUGUGAGAGGUUAGACUGCCAGAGGAUGUGAUGAGAGAUGGUGAAAUAAAAAGACUUGAGGUAUCAUCCUGAUUCAAAGAGGACUCCAAGGUUGAGGCCAUAAAAAAGAAAGUUCGCUGGGCUCAUAAAUCAGAUGAAAAGUUUGGCCUUUAUCUGAUCUACUUGGAUGCAUACUGACUUUAUCUUGAAUCACCCCCUACUGGCCAUCAAAGGAAAUUCAAGCUGAAGAUAUAUUCAGCAUCAUUUUAGAGCUAAAGCUUGUGUCUAUUUCUUACUCUCAAAAAGUAGUCUGCACUGUCACCAUGGUCAAAUCUCACCUCAUAUAACUUCAACUCCCAAACACUCAAAUGUACGUUUUACAUUGUAUACUUCACAAUACAACUCUGGUGUGUGUUUAUGCAGUUUUCAACAAUCGUCUAACUGUAUGACAUCGAAAUGCAAAUCUUUACAUGUGAAUAUCAAACAUUUUAGGGCUGUAUUUGCAAACACUGAGCUGAUCCUGAGCCCAUUGUGGAUCCUGGCUCCUUGAUGGAUUAUUUUUUGGGGUACCGAGGGAAACACAAAUAUAUUUGUCUUCCAGAGCGGCCUGGGAUUGUUGUUCUGGCUUUGCAGAACAAUAAUCUGUGUGGGAGAGAGUUUAUUUGGAGACUUACAGUGCUUAUAAAACAUCAUGAGACUGUGUUUUCCAAAUUACAAUAUAUCAGCUUUCUUCUAGGAAACUGCUCUUCUCAAACCACAAGGCUGCUGCUUGUUGGGCAGCUUCUUAAAAAGCAUAAUAAGGGUAUUUUAGUGGCUUCAAGCAGAGGAAAUAAUAUUAUAUAUUUUAGGUUCUAAAUGGCAGUAAGAAUGAAACAUAAUCUUAAAGGGCAUUUGAGCACAAUGUAAACUUUGGUCGAUAGUCACCAGAUUACACCGUCAAAAGUAGUCAUUUUACCUUACAGGAUAAAUAACCACUCUUGUGCAGCCUUGAACACAGAGGGUUUGCUCAUGCCAAACAAUACAAUAUUAUAGAAUUUCACAAACAAACCAGCAGUCAAGGCAGCUGUGAAUGAGGAUUUUCAAUGUUACAUAAGGUAAAACUCUCCCGAGCUUGGUGCGUUUGAGGACACUGGAGCAACACUCACUUAAGUUUUUAAGACUCUUGUGGACCAAUGUGUAGCUGAUUUCUUUUAAUAUAUAAAUGAGAUAUUUGACACAAGAAGGUGAGCUUUAAACUCUGGAUUAAAACUAUGAGCAGCAUCUAAAUGUUUGGUUGUUGUUUUGGAGUACCCAGACAGGCUUAGAACUGUGAGAGUCCAGAUGAGUUCUCCUUUUUGUCAAAAUAAACUCAUAUCUACAUGAGACCCAUUUCCAUGCUUAAGUUCAACCCGAUCCACAAUUGAUAUUGUGGAAAAAUGUAUGUUACUGACUGCCUUAGAGCCAAAAAUACCUUUGAUUAAAAAUUGGACUUGGCCAAAGUCAAGAGGGUCUCUUUAAAAUGACACCAAACACAGAAUAGUAAAACACUGAAAAACAUCCUGAUCAUGGGCCUAAACCAGAGUACACACCAGCGUCUGAAUAGCAGUUUUCAUCAGGGCGCAGUUCAUUUCAUGAGCUGAGUGCUGUGACACAGCUGCUACUCAGUGAAGUCUAUCAUGCCAAAAUACUAACUACAGACACAGACAUACUAAAAUUUAUAACAAUUUGUUUUUCUCACUGAUAAUGGCUGUUUACAAAUCAGCUAGCUGUGGAUUGGUUGACAGACCAAAGCAAAGAUGGCACAAACAUGAAUCCAUAAAUAAUAACAGAUUACAUUUGUCUUUGGGGUAUUGGGUCUGAAGAGUGUCUGUUGAUAAACUGAUCUCCUCUGUGGGAUAGAAAAGCUCCUGGAUGUUGCAGAACUACACUUAAAGCUGUUGGCCUCACAUAAUGAGUGGAUUUUAUUAGGGUAACCAUACGUCCUCUUUUACCCAGACAUGUCCCCUUUUUUGAGGGGGUGUCCAACCUUGUCCGGCCUUGUCUGAGGGAGUUUAUAAAACCCUUCAAAUGUCCAGGAUUUUGUAUGGAUGUGUUGAGUUUGUGUGAACUUACUGAGUUAGCAGCGCGUAAAAAACACUCAACCCGAUCCAAAACCUCAAAAUUUACCAUGCGUCACUCCAUGUGCCCCGCAUAGUCAUGUCCUCUUUUUGGGGAUUCAGAAUAUGGUCACCCUACUUUUAUAAGUAAUUUAGCACAUUUUGCUGUCUUAUGUCUGUAGUCGGUCAUGUAAAUACAACAGCCUCUUACAUACAGUAUAAUCAUGUAGACUCGAUUUGAAGGACAGGAAACUUUCCAAAAGUUUCCCCCUCUUCAUGCUUUAUAGAACAGAGUUUAUAAAAACUUAACUGCAGGACUACUUUUACUGGAUAAAACACCUUGAUAUAACCUGUGCUAUGAUGCCAGCAUAAGUAAGCAACAGCAUGAGCAGCCCUCAGUAUUAAACACUGUUUACGACCUAAAAUUGGCAAAGAGUAUGUUAGUACUUGCUUUUGCAAUCUUUCAAGGCCGUUCAAAGUAAUGGCUUUCUGGCAUUGUUUAUACGUUAGAUACAUGUGUCUCAAGAAAUCCAGCCAAAUCUGUCUAAAAUCUUAAGAAACAGGUAGAAUAACAGCCUGAGUAUUGUCAAAGGUGCUCUCUACAUUGCAUCUAUCAUCACCUUUUUUUUAGCUGAACCGAAGCAAAGAAAGUCAGAAAAGAAAUACACUAAAAGUUUAUUUGAGGUUUAAAACCAUCAGCGUCCUCUUUUAAACCGACAUUCACAGCACCAAAUAUUGACAUUUGAAUAUCAUCAUCUCUAAACCGUCUUGUGAAUAGUCUGACACAGUCUGGGUGGGGCUGCUAACAGCUCUUACUCUCACUGAAUACCAGGAGGAUGGACGGAGACGACUGAGAACAGCUGAACAAACAGCCUUUCAUGUUGUAACCGAACCCCCCAAAUGCUUCAUUCACAGCCGCUGAUAAAAGAGUGUGAUGAAUGCAGGCUGCAGAAAACUCAUUAAAAACUACAAUGUCUGACACUCAGAGGCUGAUUGGGCUCAUUUGAUCAAUAUGCAUGCUGGACACAGUCGAGUGCUUCCUGGCUGCAGUCUGCAGUGCAUGGCCUGAAACGACCACAUGGCCUGUCUUUGACCCAGAGCACAUUCCCUCCCAUGGUCCGCUGGUCAGAGAGCUGGCAUUUUACCGGGCAGGCACAAAUACAGACUGACACGCCUGCAAAAUGUUACCCUGACUCAUUAUUGCGAACAGCGAGGGAUGUACUGACCUGGUGACAACCUGCAGGCUGGAGCAGAGCAGUAAAUUCCUUCACAGUACGAGAGGCCAAACACUUUGUCUGCAGCUAUCCUCACACCGAAACUGAUACCCUAAGGGGGUUAGAUUCAGCGGGAGGACACCAAUUUGACUGUUUAUACCAACACUAUUAUAAAAAUGGGAGCUGUCCACAUCUAUGAAUCACAGUGUUUAAAUAGGUGAGGGUCGGCGGAGUGAUCGCCACAUGCUGAAGAACCUUUUCUCAAGAUUGUGAAACUCAAACUGAGCCUGACAGCAGAGCUUUAGGUGUGUCUGUAUUGCUGGGUGUGAACGCAGAGCCGACCCAAGCCUAGAUGGGGCUCCAAGCAAAAUUUGAUUUUGGGGUCCUCUAUUUCUGCCAAUAAUAUUGAUUGUUGAUCAUUCACACACCUUCACAAAUCUCUUUGAUUAUCAUUCAAUUACACGCAAACAUACCUUUAUCUUGGCGUUUUUUCUCUUCUUCCUCUUUCUUUUCUCUGCUCCUGAGGGAUAUGUCCUUUUUUGCGACAUUGUUUUGCCCCACAACUACCUGCGCUCUGGAUGCUGAGUGCACAUUGCACCGCAGGAGGCACAUAACGGUAGCGGAGCUUUGACAUAUCGGUAGUAGGCAUACAUCACAAAAAUGAUUUACUUUAUUAUAAUUUUUUUCAAUAAUAUAUAUUUGAUCAUACAGAAAUCAUCACUCAUACAUGCAAAAAAUAAGAAAUAUUAUUUUUUGAUUGCUCUUGGGGGCCCCCUAUUGGGCUCGGGGUUAAUUUUAUGUAGUUUUUUCUAGUUAAUUUUUAAAUGUGUGAACUGAACUUUGUUCUUUAUUGGCGUAUGACUGUGUUGGUGUUGAACGCUCUCAUUCUGGCGUCUGUGAGCAUAAACAUGCUCAUGUAACAUAUUUUUAGACAUAAAUUGCUGGUACCAAACACAAAAAAUGCAGAUAUUUUAAGUCAAUCUCCAGGUGUAACACCCUUUAUGAUUAAUUUGGACAUCUUGAAUCAUGAAAGCUGAUCAUCUCUACAUCCUAAAUUUCACACAGAAGAAGCUGUUGGGGUUUUCAUUCUGAAACAUGUGACUGAUGGUCUCAUAUUACGUCUGUGCUUGGUCAAACACUUUCAGGUAAUUUAGUAAAUGAUCUGAAUACACCGUACCCCCCCUCUUGAAAAUCCUGGAAAAACAAACGUAUGCACCAAGGCUUGAAAAUGAUUUUAUGGUUUCUUUGAGGGGAAGACUGAGUGAUCUCGGCAGCCCCGGUCAGGAUUCGCAGACAGUCGGUGGUUGGAUAGUUUUAUGGUGUGUUUGAGGCUAUCCCAGGGUAAUGUAACCUGGGGCCUCAUGCAGGAGUCCAGGGAUCUGAACACAGCUGAUACGAAUCAACGAGGCAUCAGACAGGACCGCUGAGAUCGGAUCACACUUCUUAGAAUCUGACCGAGGGAUAAUUCUAGGAGCCGGGCAUCAGCGACAUGCUCUGUUUGUCUCCGACCUGCUUGGUCUUGCACGGCUGCUUCAGGAAUGUGGAGUUUCCUCAUGUUGCUGGUUAAAAUGACAGUGAUUUCAGCCUCAUGGUGAUUACAGCUCUGCUCGGCCGUGAGCCGGCUCACAGACUGACAGAUGCAGCGACCUGAGGGUCUGACUGUCAGUCAGGGACUUGGCCUUGGCUCCAGGGAUCACAAUGUCAAGUCCAGAUGUCCAGACUUGAAUAUCUUAACUACUGGAUGCUGCGGUUUCCAUGCUGAUUUGGCUCAGAUGUCCAGGAGGAUGAGUGCAGUGGUGACCGUGUUUGUCUCCAUCUGAUUCCAAGUUUCCACUUUUGCACUGAUAUAUCUCCACAUUUACUCUCAUUAAUUAAUUGCAUUUUAAAUGUGGCUGUAGAGCACUUCAGUCAACACUUGUUUUCAAAUGUGCUCUGUGAAUUAUUCAUCUUGACUUGGUUUUCAUUAAUUUAACAGUAUUUCUGUUUAAAAAUAGAAUCUCAGCAGCAGAGUGCCAGGCUGACAUAACUGUUGUGGUACUGAAAGAAUCAGUAAUGUGGAAAAGCACUUCAUGCUGCCUUUACCAUUUAGGAAGAGUGCACUUGUGAUGAAGAACAGCGUCAGUCUGAUAUAAGCCAAAAUCUGAUCUCUUCCUUUCUGACUCUACUUUGUUCAGUUUAUGUUGCAGGACUGAACUUUUGGUUUUAACUUUACCGCAUAUAUUAAUUAAAACAGGAAACUUAGGAUGGGGACAUUAUUUUAAUGCUCUGAUCAACUCUGAGUUUAGACUGAAAAGAUGUUAAGGCAGCUGUUAUGAUGUGAUCUCACUGGAUGUGGAUAAAAUCAUUUGUAAAGAUGACAUAAAUGUGUGGUACACACUGUGAGAAAUGAGGAUGUUAGAUGGCAAAUGACACAAAUUCACAACACAUUCAACACCCUACUGCCUUUAUUAUUUACACUUUAAAGGGAUAAUUUAGGGUCAAACCCAUUAUAACACCGAGUUAGACACCCCGUCAAAAGAUGAAUGUUGCUGACUGCUUGCUUCUCUAGUUAUUCCAAAUUUAGUAACGACCGCACGAUAGCAAUACACAGCGGUCUGAGAAGCCAAGUGCACACCUCAACCAAAACUCCACUCUAUAGCCACAAAUGAUGCUCAGAACAGCAACUUACUUCAUCAACAGUACAUAUAGGGUCCCAGCCAUAGUACUAGCCACAAAGUAUCUUUUUAACUUUGCCUAAUUUCUUAAGCAAAGAGACUAAACACAACUCACCUACUCUCUUCAAGCAGCCACUUGUUUGUAGUGAGGCCUCAGGCCAGUCCAUUACCGACUGCGGCGGGGUGACGCAGCUCAAGGAAGAACAUUUAUGGUAAUUUCUUCAUGGAAAUGCAAUCAGAACAAGACGCUAAGGCAGAAAAAGUACCGUGUCUGCAGUGCGAAAUGAUUAAUAUGGUGAUUAUUACUUAAAGAAAAUGAUACAGUAAUGAUCACUGAAGUAGGUAGGAAUAUCCCUUUAACUCAUGUUAGCCAAUCAGCAUGGAGAUCCUCUGGUAAUGGAGCUACUCUGAACUAUUAGAUAUGACUUCUUUUUGUGGAAACAGGGAUAAAAAAGAGCUCAUUGUGAGAAAAGUAAGUGAGGAGGUUAAUUUUUCUGGUAAAUUGUGAGAACAAAACAAAUCCUCACAAUGUCCCCAACCUUAACUAUGUUUGAUGUAAACAGCCUGAAAUGGAGUAAAGGAAACUCAACCUUUCUUGUGUAAAUUCAUGUAAGUGGGCACUUGCAUUGUGUGAAUUGACGCACAUAUGAAGUGAGUAAUUUACACAAAAUUAAAGGCACUGUAACAAGUUUUUAACAGGAUGGGAAACAGACCUGGGGUAGGUAUCAGACUAGACGACUGACAGCAAAAAUAAUAAAUGAAAAAUGGCCUUUUAAAAAACAAAAUAGGACAACAAGAUGAGAUGUUAUAUUCAUGGAGGGAAAACACUACUUUCACAGGUACAGGCCCAAAGAUAAGCGGUUUCAAUUUGUCCACAAGAGGUGCCACUAUCAACACAAAACCAAAACGUUUCUCACAACAGCUUUAAGCAUGUUCACUCUAAAUAUUCAGCCUCCUUUUAGGACAAAUUUACAUUACACUGAAGGCAGAAGCAAACAUAAACAUGAAAAGUCUUAAACGUGUCACCAUAAUGCUAAAAAGUUCUGUACAUUUUUGUCCUGAAAUAUGCGCUCACUCAGCCAGCCUCAGGGAACGGAUUGUGUACACAACACAAAUAACACACUCACCUACACUCAUUUUAAAGCCCUCUCCUCUGAGAUGCUGAGGUGUAUCAUUACAUCCUUCCGGGUAGAUUCUCUGUCGUACAGGUCAUCUCUCUGGCGCCUUCCUCCUCCUCCUCCUCCUCCUCCUCCUCCUCCGAGUAUAAUGAUCUACACAUGUUUAGGAUUUCUCCUUCAGACCUCACAUUCCACAACCUUCAAAACUAUGACGUCUUUACGGAGCAGAGGACGGCAUUCCUGACCUGAACAUGUGCUCGGCUUUCUGCCUAAACACCCUCAGGCCUCCGACAGUCACACACCGCUCAUCUGAGUCUCUAUCCGAAAGUGUUGAAAUGCUCUGUGGGAUUCAGGUAGUGCUAUUCUAUCUUCAAUCUAAGCAGAAAAGAAGCACAAUUUCAUCAUCCUGAAAUCAAUUGUGUGACGGACUCAAUUGUGGCAUGGUGUUGAUAAAAUCUGUUAUUAUUGCAGCAUCUGUCCGUCUUUGACAGUAACUAUCAUAACAUGACUCCAAAGGUCAACCCUUGAUUGUUUCAGGACCACAAGAAACAUUUCACUAAAAACCAAAAACAUAAAAAUACCCAAUAAAACUCCAAAAACAUUUCAUAAAAUGCCAACAUAAAAUAAAGAAACCCCAAAUUUUCACAGAACCCAACAUUUUUUUCAAGAAGGUCAAAGAUUUCAUGCAAGAAUUUUUAAAUCACCCAUAAACGUUUUACUAAAAGCAAUAUUUAAAUACAAAAAAUCUUAAAAAGUGCAAAAAAAAUGAAUAAAUAAAAAUCUUAAAAAGGGCAAAAAAAAAUCUUGAAAAAAACCCCAAAAGGCGAAAAUGUCUCACAACCACCUCUAAGCCUCUAAAAAAGUACAAAAUUAAUUUGAAUUAAAUUCAGAGAAACGUUUCCUAAAUGCAAAAAAAGAAAAAAAAUACAUUCAUUAGCCGUAAAAAUAUUUUGUGCAUUUGACCUUCAGGGCCACCGUACCAUCAAGUCUGUCAGUGCUUUUAAACACAGGAUGCGAUCGUUUGACAUCCUUCAUGCAUCCCUGACAUUGUGAGUUCCUUGCAACGCACAGAUAUAAGUAAAGAAACAACACAAGUGUCACUGUCAGUUUGAUUUCUCUGUUGCAAAUAACUGGAGGAGUAAAAUCCAACGCAUUUGUCAGCACUGAAUUUUAAAUCUUGGAACUAAAAGGGCGGGAUGAAGAAUUGAUGUAGAGACCUGGACUUUUGUGAUGCUACUGCUGAGACAGUAAAAGGGAAAAAUAGAUUUUGGGAUUAAUAAAGAGAAAGGACACUGAGCGGAUUUUCCUGCUAAUUUGACACAUUGGAUCACCACUUCGUGACUUCCUGCAGUGAUGCUAAUGAAAUAAAUGAGGGUAAAGUCAACAGAAGCUGCUCAGCUAAUGAAGACGUUGACUGUUUUAAUUGAAGCUGCAUGAGGUGCGGGUCAAUAGUGACUGUCUUACCCAGAGUCAUUCUGCUUGAUUGCAUAUGUUCACCAGUAUAAGUGGUUUAGCAAAAUUUUCAAAAGUGAAAAUCUAGAUACUCUCUGUGACUUCCUCUGCUGCUUCCUGAGGCUAACAUCCUCACUUGUUUACUUCUUUUAGAGACCCACUUAACAUCUACACGGCUGCAGCGAUAUCUUUGCCUGGACUUGACUUUGGAUCAACUGGUAGGUUCCCACCUGAGGAUUUCAGGCUGCCGGCUGGCUCACAGGGAGUCAACAACUCCAAUAUGCAGCUCAAAGCUAGACCUGUGAGAGCUUCAGCACUCAAUCAUUGACAUUUCCUGAACUUAAUUAAUUAGAGAAGUGUAAACAGAUACUUGGUCUAAAAUAAGCAGGAAAUACCCAUCUGGAUAUGGUGAAUGUGGGCUGGUGAGGAUGUGGUUUUAUUUAUAUUACCCAAACAUGCUGCUGUAAGUGUGCACCAUAUUUAGACUUUUUUUUCUAACAUGCGUGCACUACAUGUAUGCUGCAUCCUCCGCCUGCAGAGCAAUGACAAAAACAGACAAGGAUUUUUGCAGGCAUAGAUAUUUUCAUUCUCAGAAUGGUUGGACAUGACAUAGGAGUGAGGUACAUUGUUUAUGUCUUUGCAUUAAUGUUGAAGAAAGAUUUAUUUAUGCUCUGAGUGGGGAACAUCAGACCGGUUUAACCAGAAUUACAGCCCCGCAGUUGUGUGCCUCCAAGCAGUCACGUUUCAGUUUAUAUCCCACCAUGUGUUUCCCUCUGACUGACAGCAUAACUAGCGGGGAUUGGGGAUAUUGAGUAUUUGCAUAUUGGAAAUAUUUGAGAAAUGCCAUCUCUGUACGUAAACCCACAUUAUCCAUGAGCGGUUAUAUCAUGAUCUGUCUGUGUUUUUCUCAGAGAAAAAGUAUGAGACUGUCAGUAUAGCAAAAGCAGAAUGAACAGGUUUGCUACGGUUAGAGUGAGAGAGUUUGCAGGAUUGUCCUAAAAUCCAGUAAAUAUGAAAUGUUGCUUCCAGGCAUUACUGAAGCGAGAAGCGAGAAUGAAGAUAGGAUGGACACGGAUCACCUAAACUUUAACACCUAAAUUGAAUGACUUUAUCUUUGGAUUCGGAAGGACAUUAUGUCAAAUUUGUGGGUAUUCCCUGCAGGUAUUGUUGUGUUAUUGUGUUUACGAGACUGAGAUGGGAGAAAUGAGCAGAAAGGACUUUUUUUGAGGGAACUGUUGUUGUCAUUUCAGAUGAAACAUGUCAUCACUUCAUGAUUCUACCCUAAAAUAUUGGUGUUUUGUUUGAUAUCAGACAAAAUUUACUCUUUUCCUUCCAAUGAUAUUGUUGUGAGGCCGUAGAGUCCUCACUCACCAACUAUUGUUAAGACUAAAGGAAGGUGCACAUUCCUCGAGCACCUAAGCAAUGUUGGUUUGAAGUAUAUAUUAAAUGCAUAUGAUGUUUACAUUUCACUCUAAAUAUGUAGUCUUUUUUUUCCCUUUGGGGAAUUCUGUUUUCCCUUUUGUUAUUGUUGCAGCUUCUCUCACUUGGAUUGUCUGCAGGUGAGAGUGGCCAAACCUGAAUUCUGUGAGGCUGUGAUUAAAGCUGCAGGUAGCAGAGCAUAUGAGCUGAGUGAAAUCAGCAGAUGUGUGGCAUAUGAGAUGUGAGGCUGUGAAGAGAGCCAGUUUGUUGGACUUUUGUUGGACUAAUGUUUCAUUUUUUCUUCCUCUGCAGGGGAUAUUUUUGCAAAGUAUAUAACUGAUUUGACAUUUUUUGUCUUAUUUUGAUGUGGCUUAAUAAAUGUUCUCCUCAUUUUUGAGAAUUCACAUCUUGUUUGAGAUUUGAUGACAGAUAUCUUGUUUAAAAGACAGAGGUCUGACCUCUUGCAGAAAGUCCAGUCAGGAAGUCUAAAUUUUGCACGCACGGCCUGUUUAUUUCUUGUUGCAUUCUGCUGUUUGGCUUCAUUACAUCUAUUUUUUUUGUUUUGAUUUUUCCUCUUUUUACAUUUCAUUCAUGCUUUUAUAAUGUUCCCUCAGCUCUAGAUGACACCAUCGCCCACCACCUCUACCUCGGGGUGAAAACAAUACCAUUAGCACAUCUCUCUGCAGAGUCAAAGUGCUAAAGACUGUCUGACACGUCUUAAUUGCCUCAUCAUGUGUAACAUUUAAUGCUAUAAUUGCUUCAUUCACGACCACUCAAGUUGUGACACUGUGUAAAAUGAUGAUAAAAGAGAUUUCGAAGGUUUGCACAGCAUUUACAGCAUUUAUAAUUGAUAAAAAAAAGCAAAGACAACAUAUUUUGUUGCACGGGUUUUACAAUAUUCCUUUUGAGUUUGAUACCAGCAACAUUUUUAUAACACUUAUAACAGGAUCAUGUUUUCUUUAGCGUGUCAUUAGCUCUGUAAAUGUUUGUGAACCGAGGAGACCAGUUUCUGUAGCCUGGCUGGGCCAACCAGUUGUGUGAAUCACUUGCCGUUCCUUCCCACAACAGUCUGGACUUUUGGGAGCCCUAAAAGUGGGCGGGAGUACUUUCCUUGAUAGACAGACUACUGUAACCAAUCACCGUAACCAAGCAUCUGACGUCAUCACAGUGCGCAACUGUGUUCCCUGCUGGGCUCUCAAGCAUCAAGUAAAGGUUUGAUAAUAUUUCAACGUGUGCGAGCAAACAAUGUCUUUUACGUCUUCUUCUGCGGAUAUAAAUGAUUUCUGCCGACUUUGCAAAGUCAACUGCAGAAUUAACGGCGUUCUGAAUGAACAGCGCUCUGAAUGAACAGCGCUUUGAAAAGUCCCGCAGCAUGUGUUAGACAUCUCCAUCUACACAUGGACCAAUCAGGGGCUGCCUUUCCCUGUUGUCCGGAGAACAGUGGAAACACAGUCUCUGAUUGGCCCGAUUAUUUUCUGAUUUCUAAUACUUGCUCCCAAUUGGCCGAAGUCCAGACUGUUGUGGGAAGGAAUGGCAAGUGAUUCACACAACUGGAUGGCCCAGCCAGGCUAGAAUUUCUGGGGUCUGCUCAACAGUUUAGGGUCUCCUUUGUUGUGAUUUUGUGUCAUGAUGCAAACUCUUUGACCUUUUAUAUUCAGGAACAUUAUUCAGGAUUGCUGAACUUUCUUCUUUUCCUCUGAGAAACCCAGUCAUGUUGCUAACCUGUUACAAAUAAACCUCAGGGAGAUGUUCCUUCAGAAGUUCUUAACUAUUGCACAACUGUUUCACCUGUUUUGAACUUUUUUGAAACUUUUUUUUGUUGUUGUUGCUGCAACAGGUCUCAGUUCCAGCUAAAAGAGAGUUGUGAAAGACAAGUGGAAGAAGACAUUAAGCAUGCAAAGCUAAGUUUAAUCUCACUAACAGCUUGUUUUGGUUCUGUGAGAGAUAACACUUGAUUAGGGAGUGUGCUUCACCUUGUGUUGUUGCCAUACCAACCUGACCGCUGUGACAAAAAGAGACAGAGCAGUGUAUUUAGCUGAGCCAAUCUUUUCCAUCCAAUUUAAAGCGUCCCACUGGGUUUUCUCAGUAAGCACUGCCGGUGCAAUUCUGCUCCUCUGUGUAAUUUCCCUGAGACCUGUGUGAGCUAUGUGGAGGCUUGAUGGGCUGUGGUGGGAGGAAGCUAUAGAGCAAUGAAUUAACUUGCAGCCACCCAGGGGGAUCCUUUGUGCUCCUGUCUCCAAGGACACCUGACUUAGACUUGGCGAACAAACAGCCAUCUCACACAAUAAUGGGAAAUAAAUAAUGUUCACAGGGAAGAGAGAACAAGGUUUCCCUUUGGGGACACGGGACACAAAGAGAGGAAAAUGAAUGGCAGCUUUGUGUUUUGUUUUGGACGUAUUAAACCCCUGGACUUAAACAAUAAGUCACUCUAUCAGAAAAGUGACACAGAGUGGUUUUAUAUUCAGUAAUGACUAUUUGUUUUCCACAAGGAGACUUAAUGGAAAAACUUUAGGCAAUUCACAUCUGACAGCUUAAGCUGGAAAUACCUCAUAUCAUCUAAAUGAAUCCUGUUUAUUUCUGUCCGCUUCUGCUUUGGGACAUGAUGGCUGGACUCUGGGGUAAAGCAGGUUGUCUGUUAAUGACUAAUACCUUUAGAUCCUCUGAACCUACAGUGACCACACUAAAGGCAUUCACAUGCAGGUCAAGCAAGCAAUGGUUAUUGCAUUCGUAUGUGGAAUGCCAUAGCCUAAGGCAGGGAGCGCACAACUCCGGUUCAUGAGCAUAUAUGAAAAGCCAUGGCAGGGAGAGCAGCAGCAAAGACUCCAACGCUCUGUUUCGAGAGCUUCCUGCUAUUCUGUGUGUGUAUGGCAUGCCAAAGCCUAACGCCCAAUUUCCACCGUAUCCGGAACAGCAGCGAUUUUUGCCGUCCGCCAAUUCCUACCAGAUCUAUUUAUGAGGUGAAUUUUGUGGCGGAUUACGGACAGAGGAAAUCGCGAGAACUCACAAGAACCCGCGAAUCGCGCAAUAACGGGUUGUCUUUAAUAAGAUAACCAUAUAUUAUACAUAACCAUAUAAGCAGUAGAUUGUGUCCUUCUAGAGGAAGAAAUCCACUUUCAGCACGGGCUCAUCUGUGCUGAAUUUAUCAUUCAUGCUCUGGCGUCUGCAAAAAAUAGAACUGUUGCGAUCAGCUGUGGAGUCCGGCGAUCCACAGUGGAAUGGAAAGAAGCUGAUGGAAAUUGACACAUUAACUUGAAAGGUUACCAUCAGCCGCGGUUGGCCGAUACAGCCAUUUCAUAUCCGUACUGGAUGCGGGGGAAAUUGGGGGUAAGGCAAAGAAAGUACACUAUCUCUAUGUUUCAUGUGAGUAGUGAAAGCAGGGGGAGCAUCAGCAAAGAUAGAACAGCGUUGGUGACAAUCAAUGUGACACUGGCAAAUGAGGAGCCGGGAUGGAGGCAGGUUUUUGGAGGAAGCAGGUGGGCUGAAACGGUUUAAAUAGAACAAGCAGAAAUGUGAUAGUCAGGAUCAUCUGCUACUCAGUAGGUGGAGCUUGACCUCGUGGCCUGCCUGAACCGAUGCCACGCUUCUUCUUUUCUUUGCUACAAUGCUAAUUGCUGCUUGUGUACAAGCUCAUUAUCUGUAACCCUUCAAACCCCUGACACACACACAAACACAUUAGCGCACACACACGUCUGUUUGGCCCAUGCUAAUGUGCCACAUGCUGGUCAGGCUAAGAGGGGGCUGAGGGACAGAUCUUCUGUCCCUUUUUUUUCCCACUCCAUGUUUGACCUCAAAUUUGUUCUGGUCCGCCAUAAUUCAGGGUCUCCAACUCUCUUCUUUCUGCAGAUUAUUGCUCCCAAAAUAGGGAAUAAAAGGGGGACUCGAGGGGAGGGACAGGGCAACCAUCUUGAAAGUCCUUGACCGUGAUUAAUCUACUUCUCCAUUUGGGAGUUUAUUAUAGUUUGGAUGCUCUGUUGGUUUUAUUUCAGUCUUUUACUAACUCAAAAAUAAAAUUAAAAACUGGACAUUUUUUCUCAUUAUUAGAAGGAAUUUCAUUUUUAAUAGUAAAUAAAGGAAGAUUUUAGACUGCUGAGAGAAGAAGAAGAAACUAAUUUUUUUUAGUGUCUCUACACAAAAUGUCAGAACUGAUCGGCUUUUGUCUGAUCGUUUGGCCUCUUGCAGUGACGGCCAAUACUUACAGGAUUCCAGUGGAGUCAGCUUAUAUCUGGAUAUUGGAUCAUUAGUAUUCAGGCCAGGACUACCUUUAUCUUGCCGUGUGAUUGUUUGCAGUCCACGCCAGAAAUGAGUGCGUGCAGCUGGAUUGGCAGAGACACUGAUUUUGCAAAAAAGAGCUGAAUGAAAAGCUGAAGUUUAUGGAUGAUAACUAAUAGCUUCCAGAUCACAAUUUUGGCUGCUUUCUUUUGGCAUUUUUCAUACUUUUUUUUCAUUUUCCAAAAGGACUAUUUUCUGCGCAAAAUCAGAUGCCAGCUCAAACAUUAUUAGUCAAUAUUAGCCGCACAGCAAACAGGAAAACAGACGCUGUAAAUCCCCCCCAAAUCUCCUCAGAAUUUGCAGAUUUCUGCUCGUAGAGAUGAUUGCAACUUUGAGUGCGAACAGGUGCAUCAGAAGAAAAGUGGCUCUUGAAUACAAAUGAGAAAACAUCCACAUACCGCCUCACUUUGUGCUUGGAUGUGAAUUUAGAUAAGAUGGUUUCGGUGUGUUUUCACCUUAUCACAUGUGCAGAAAUACAACCAGUGAGGAAGAGAGAGAGAGGAGCUUUCUAAGAAUUUUAUCAGGCAUAAUGUGGCAUCAAAUCAUAGAGUCAUUGAUAUUGUGAUGUUUUAUUACAAUUACAAUGUCAUUUAGCAGACGCUUUUAUCCAAAGUGAUGUACAUACGAAGCAUACACCAGUGGAGGACACACACUGGGAGCAAGGUAGGAUAAGUGUCUUGCCCACGAACACAACAGACAGACAAAUGAUAGGGUGGAAUCGAACUGCCAACCUUCCAGUUAUUGGAUGACCACUCUACCUCCUGAGCUACUGCCACCAAAAAAAUCCUCUUUUAGAUUGAGUUAUUGAUUGUGAGCGAGUCCAAACAUGUCAACAAAUGACAACAGUAUUAAAGAAGACUUAUAAUUAAGUUUACCUUUUAAUAUUUUAGUCUUGGACAUCUAUAGAGUUUCUUAGCAUGACUUGUAGUUUUAAAACCGUAUUAGCGUCUGUAAAAACCCUAAUGUCAGCACUUUUUGGACAAGGCCUGAAAUGCUUCAUUUUGGCUGAUUUCACACUAAUAGAAAGUUAGACACAGCUUGGGGAGCUACUUUGUACACAGCUUUGUAGUCACAUAAAAAAAAAAAAAAACACCUGAGGCCCUUAGCAUCCACCUUACAGGCAAUUUCCACCGCAUCCGGAACAGCUAUGAAAAGGUUGUAUCUGCUGAUCGUAAUAUGUCAAUUUCCACCGGCUUCUUUCCAUUUCGCUGCGGAUCUAGAAGUAGAUUUCCUCCUCUGGAAAGAAACGAUCUCCUGCUUAUAUGGUUUGCCUAUGUGGCUAAAGACAACUUGUUAUCGCGGGUUCUUGUGAGUCCUCGCAAUUCCUGCUGUCCUCACAAACGGAUCCGGUAGAAAUUGGCACACGGCGAAAAUCCGACCCGUUCUGGAUGUGGUGGAAAUCCCAGGUUACUCUGCAUUACAUAUAAACUAUUGUUAGGUUAGCAGACUGUAUAUACUCACAGUUUAUUGGUGUUACUUUUUACACAGUCUUGAAGCAUGAAAUGACCAGAAAAAUCAUGCUUUCACAAAAAAUGUUUUAGACCAGCAGUUGAUGCCAAAUUAACUCCACUUUACAUGUAAGCUGUUCUUACAUUAGCUGCUGCUAUUAUAUUACCUACAGCCUGAGGGUGUUACUUUUUACACAGCUCUAUUACACUAUAUGAAGCUUGAUUUGGCCACAUGCAUUUGUAAACGGAUGUUAGCACAUGCAUUGGAGAUGAGUAUGAGAACACAGUCCGGGAGUUAAUCAAAGUGUUGAGAGUGAGGCGUGUCUUGAUGGAGUGGGGGCUUUAAAAGAGUGAGAGGUGGAUGCUGCUGCUGCUGCUGCUGCUGCUGCUGUUGGCUCUGAUGUCUGUGCUGCACUGACAGCCAGAGCUUACACUGCAAAAACCCACAGAGCUGCUGACUCCCCGCUCUGACACACUGACCUCCUGAGAGAGAGAGCGAGAGAGAGAGAGAGAGGUGGGAGUGGUGGGGGUCUAUGGACUUGUCAUGUUUCUGUGUCAUUAAAGUCUAUUAAAGGUUGCUCUGCUGUAUGGGGUCAGCAUGUCGUAUGACUGUGACUGCAGUUUAUUAUCAUGGCAGAGGAAAAAAGAGAGGAGGGGAUAUUACUUUAUUUUGGAUUUAAAAAGAGUCAAACUUCAAUCUAAAUAAAUAAAUAAAUAAAAAGAUGAUUUUAUUUUCUCAUAUGGGAAUGAGAAUGAAAUUUAAAUGUCAAGGAUUAAGAUGAAAUGCUGAAAAUGCAGCAAAAUGUCAUGAGUAAAAGUUUUACUUUAAGUAUUUCUGGGAUCACAGUAAGAAUUCUAGUUGGUGUUGCUGAAUCGUUUUCAUCCAAUUAACAUAAACUUUCUUAUAGACCAAUCAGUACGUUUACAUGACACUUGAGAAAACCGGAUUAUUACCUUAUUCCGAUUAAGACCGGACAACUGAAGUGCAUGUCAACACCUCAGCAUGUAAACACCUCACUCAAUCGGAGUUCUCAAACUCCAAUUGGAGUCGGAGAACUCUGAUUAGGACACCCAGAUAAUGCGAUUGGAAUUUGAUUUUCUCUACCAUGUAACCAGCGUAGUCGGAGUAUGAUCAGAUAAUGCAUGUACGUGUGUGCCACGCCCCUGUAACUCUGGAACAAAAACACCAGAGAAGAGGAGUAGCGUGCAUCUCAUCUGCAAAAAAGUAGCAUGUACAUCUUCUUGCCCGAAAAUGCCCAGCAGCAGUUGUAGCCACUUUUGGCCUAGUGUUGUUGUCGGAAACAGCGCCGCUGAAAAAGACCCAUAUCGCCCCCUAGUUUUGGGGAGGAGUACACGUUCACAUCAAUAAUUAAAUUUUCUCAGCUGCAUGUAUAUGCGGACAACUCUGAUUCGGUGAAAAAACAAAUAAUUUUUUUGUGAUUUUUCUCUUCAAUACACAUCAAACAUACAGACCUGUUACUCAGAAUAACUAUUUCUAUUCCCACUCUGACAUUACACCAACGUCCUUGACCCUAACCUUCAAAUUCAAAAGGUUAAUCUGCUGCUGAUAUAGUAAAGAUGGUGGAUUACUCCUGGAGAGCCGCCAUGUUUUUGAAUCAACAAGUAAAAUCUGACAGAUGUCUUGACUGUCAGAGUGAGACCACGCUGAGUGUUAAUGUGCUGCUGGUUAGAGAGUGUGAAAAAACAAACCUGCUGUGAGACUCGGCUCUGCUGUCGCUCUGGAGCAGUUUGAAAUUUGAUUUCCCUGCAAACCAAAAGAGGUGAAACUAAACAAACAGCAUAUCUCAAAAGAUAGACAGUCGAGGAGUAUCAUCCAAGUAACGGGAAAUGUUUGAGUCGGGCUUUGAGUCAGGGUCCUGCUCACCUUGUUGCGAUAACUUAAGUUUGUGGGCUGAAAACCAGCAAUACCAAAAUCUGUGUUUAUUUUCAGAGAAUUAAAAGGAAGCUGAGGUUUUGAUUGUGAAAGAGGAAGAAACGCUGCAAGGGAAUUGUUUGUUUUUCCACUGUUUACUCUGAAUAACCCUGCUUGUAUUAAAAAUGGGCCACAGUCCCCCCGGUCAGCCUGAGAUUCACCCCCAAACAAGUCAGGAGGUUCCUUUUGGCAGCGAGAAAAAAGACUUCCUGCUGAGAAGAGUCAUUACACAAACCAUAAAAAUCAUUAUCAGGCCCUAAAAAUCAUGCUCUUUACGCAGUAAUAAUUUAAGGAAUCUUGAGACUUCCAUUAAAAGUGAAAUGCUCCCAUUGUGGUGAGGAGUGUCCUGAAGGUCUGGCCCACAUUCCAGAUCUGGAUCAGUCAGAGGGUGGUGGGAGAAGCCCUGAGGGGGCCGGUUGAGGCUGAGGACAGUGCGUGAGAUCUCACCCCGUACCCAGCUCCCAAACCUUUCCCCUCAUCUGCAGACAAAGAGCAGAUCUGAUGUGAAACAAAGAGCAGAUCUGAUAGAACACAGACUCACAGUACUGACACAAAUACAACUUAACUCUAUUACAGCGAGCAUCGUCAUUUGGGCCGCGGGGGCAUCAGGGGUCUUUGAGGAGAUCCUAGGAGUUCAGGGAGAGUUUAACUCAGUUGUUAUUGAAAAAGCAGAGUGAUACCACAAACAGUACCUUCUCCUAAUGGUCUAAAACUGGGAGUUUGUUUUCACAGUUUCUGUAUUUGACAUUAAUUUUCAAUAGAUGACAUUAACCUUAAAUAACUUUGUGUUUUAAGAGUACCUGGCAGCAGAGACAGUGGGGAGUUGAGAGUUUAUCUCUGCUUUAAUUUCAUGUUGUCGUGACCUCACCCGCGAAAUUUAAUCUCCUUCAUGCCAUUUUCACAAACCUUUCAAGUUAGUAGACUUUUAAAGUUGAAUAUGGGUUCCAGUUUGGAUAUUUGAUCAAGACCUGUGUGAUUACAGAUGGUACAAGAUAGCUAAUAUCAAGUUUCUAUACCAAAUCUUUCGUCACUGCUUUGAGUGUGAAAUUAUGUUGACUACUGCAGAGAUCUGAUGUUCCCUUUAAAGGGAUAUUCCAGCGUAAAACUAAUAUAGGGUCAAACAAACCGUAACACUGAGGUAGACACCCCGUCGAGAGAUUAAUGUUGCCGACCACUUGCUUCUCUAGUUAUACCAACUUCAGUAAUGACCACACGAUAGCAAUACACAGCAGUCUGAGGAGCCAUAAACAAACCUCAACCAAAACGCCACAAAUAAUGCUCAGAACAGCGCCUAACUUCAUCAACAGUACAUAUAGGGUCCUAGCCAUAGUACUAGCCACCAAAUUUCUUUAGCAAAGAGACUAAACACUACUCACCCACUCUCUUCCAGCAGCCGCUUGUUUGUAGUAAGACCUUUGGACAGUCCAUUACGUACUACAGCGGGGUGACGCCGCUCAAGGAAGAACAUUUAUGAUCUUUUUUUAAUAAGAAUGCUAUCAGACCGAGACACUAAGGCAGAAGAACUAACGUGUCUGCAGUGCAAAAUGAUUAAUAUGGUGAUUUUUACUUCAAGGAAAUGAUAAACAAAUGAUAAUAUAUGUUCUUCCUUGAGCUGCGUCACCCUGCUGUAGUCCAUAAUGGACUGGCCCGAGGUCUCACUACAAACAAGCGACCGCUGGAAGAGAGUGGGUGAGUUGUGUUUAGUCUCUUUGCCAAAGAAAUCAGGCAAAGCUAAAAAGAUGUUUGGUGGCUAGUACUAUGGCUGGGACCCUAUAUGCCCUGUUGAUGAAGUUAGGUGGCUAUAGAGUGGCGUUUUGGUUGAGGUUUGUUUAUGGCUCCUCAGACCGCUGUGUAUUGCUAUCAUGCGGUCGUUACUAAAGUUUGUAUAACUAGAGAAGUAAGCGGUCGGCAACAUUGAUCUCACGACAGGGUGUCUAACUCAGUGUUAUAGUGUGUUCGACCCUAAAUUAAUUUUACGCCAGAAUGUCCCUUUAAUUGACCGGUGCACAAAACAUGUUUUGAUAGUAAUGAAUUAAUAUUGAUAGUAAACUUUGCAGUUUGAAUAUUCAACAGUUUUGAGUUGGAUCGCCUUAUUUCCUUUGAACUGCUGAGAUUCAAGCAGAAGUCCAACUCUGUGCACGCGCUGACAGACUCUGCUGUGUCUGCAGCUGGGCCCUGCUCCUGUAUUUGGUUGUGUUUAUGAAAUGCCGCAGUUUGAGAUCAUAAGCAGGAGAUCAUUAUCCCGCUCAAGGUCACCGAGCAUUUGGCCACAGCUGGACUCGAACCUCUGAACUUUUCAUGGCGGUGCGGUUGCUCCUGCUGCUCCGCCAGCCUGCUACACCUGUGGACUGUAAAGUGUGUUUCUGCGAGUCCAUCCUGCUGAGCCCUGCUGCCUCGGAUCUGUUUGUGGUCUGAGCAGGGCAAAUUAACAGCCUUUCUGAUGCUGUACAGCUCUGCUCCCUCAGUUAAUCUACCGACCAAAUCAUAUCUUACAGCUUCAAGAGAUCAGCAAGGCCGCAUUGAGAACACCACAGCAUGUUUUUAAUGCAUCUGAAAGAAACCGAUCCCUGAGUGACAAAGAGAAACUAUAAAAGGCUCCGAAAAGGGGGAUUUUGUUUAUUCGGUUUGAUAUUUGCUGUGACGGAAAUCAAGCAAGACUUGUGAAAUUAAAUUCCCUUUUUUUGUUAUUUUUACCAAUGCUGAACACGCCUGCCAAUGCCUAUUUACCCAGUAUCAUGGAGCUGAAAACACAAGUGUGUCAUCUCCAUGGAAACUGCUCCACAAACAAAUUGGAAAGCCUGCAGUUGUCACGGUCACUGAAUACAUGAAUCAUCCUGUAAAAGAAAAUCACAGCAGGGUCAAAUUUAAGAGGCUGUUUUCAGGUUUAGACCACAACUGAGUGUGUAAAAAUUUACAACCCGAUGUUUUUGUUUGAAGAAAAUAUGAUUACUCUUACAGGAGGUGUAUUAAACAAGUCCUUAAAUGAACUUUUACUGUCGAGUUUAACCUGAUUCUUACAUUUUGUCUCAAUUUUGUUGAAGGAAAAGACAUUGAAGAGGAGAGGGACCGUCCAGUUUGUUAUCAGCACACAGUUCAACGCCGGUACCCCUGAUCAUAUGGGAACUUGGGAAUUUGGUGCUCUUAUAUUAGUAUCUUUUCCUGUUGUUUUAUUUUAUUUUAUUUAUUACUUGUCAAUGUCGAUGGUAAUGUCAGCUUUAUUUAUAUAGCACGUUUAAAAACAGCCAGUGGCCUACCAAAGUGCUUUACAGUAAAAUAGCUAGAGACAAUAAAAAAAUAAGAGCAUAAAAACAUAAAACAACAAUAUAGAUAAACAUAGCAAAUAAAUGAAAUACCCGAUAAAAGUAGCUUUACUUCCCCAAAAGCUAAAGUGAACAGGUGCGUCUACAGAAGUGUUUUAAAAGUGGAAAGGCUGUUAGAUAUUUCUGAAAUUUUAUUUUAGGUUACUCAGUUUUUAGAUUUUUACCUAAACCUCCAGUGUUUCCUUAUCUUGAAUUUUAAAAUGGCGCUUCUUCAGUGCGCUCAUUCCAGUUUUUAUGAAAUUGACCCCUUUUCAAGUUCAUGCAUUUUAAUACAUGUUUCUAU
rnacentral:lncRNA from 1 species